UACGUAGGGUGCGAGCGUUGUCCGGAAUUAUUGGGCGUAAAGAGCUCGUAGGCGGUGUGUCGCGUCGGCCGUGAAAACCUGCAGCUUAACUGUGGGCUUGCGGUCGAUACGGGCAGACUAGAGUUCGGUAGGGGGAGUCUGGAAUUCCUGGUGUAGCGGUGAAAUGCGCAGAUAUCAGGAGGAACACCGGUGGCGAAGGCGGGACUCUGGGCCGAUGACUGACGCUGAGGAGCGAAAGCGUGGGGAGCAAACAGGA
rnacentral:rRNA from 1 species